rnacentral:tRNA from 1 species
GCCUGGGUGGCUCAGUCGGUUGAGCGUCCGACUUCAGCUCAGGUCAUGAUCUCACCACUUGUCGGUUCGAGUCCCACAUUGGGCU